GUGAAGGAUUAGCGGCGAACGGGUGAGGAACACGUGAAGAAUCUGCCUUCAACUCUGGGAUAACUCCGGGAAACCGGGGCUAAUACCGGAUAUGAGCCUUGAUCGCAUGAUCGGGGCUGGAAAGUUUUUCGGUUGAAGAUGACUUCGCGGCCUAUCAGCUUGUUGGUGAGGUAAUGGCUCACCAAGGCGACGACGGGUAGCCGGCCUGAGAGGGCGACCGGCCACACUGGGACUGAGACACGGCCCAGACUCCUACGGGAGGCAGCAGUGGGGAAUAUUGGGCAAUGGACGAAAGUCUGACCCAGCGACGCCGCGUGCGGGAUGAAGGCCUUCGGGUUGUAAACCGCUUUCAGCAGGGAAUAAGCGCAAGUGAAGGUACCUGCAGAAGAAGCACCGGCUAACUAUGUGCCAGCAGCCGCGGUAAUACAUAGGGUGCAAGCGUUGUCCGGAAUUAUUGGGCGUAAAGAGCUCGUAGGUGGUUUGUUACGUCGGUUGUGAAAUUCAGGGGCUCAACCCCUGACUUGCAGCCGAUACGGGCAAGCUAGAGUUUGGUAGGGGAGACUGGAAUUCCUGGUGUAGCGGUGGAAUGCGCAGAUAUCAGGAGGAACACCGAUGGCGAAGGCAGGUCUCUGGGCCAAUACUGACACUGAGGAGCGAAAGCGUGGGGAGCGAACAGGAUUAGAUACCCUGGUAGUCCACGCCGUAAACGGUGGGCGCUAGUUGUGCGAACCUUCCACGGUUUGUGCGACGCAGCUAACGCAUUAAGCGCCCCGCCUGGGGAGUACGAUCGCAAGAUUAAAACUCAAAGGAAUUGACGGGGCCCCGCACAAGCAGCGGAGCAUGCGGCUUAAUUCGACGCAACGCGAAGAACCUUACCAAGGCUUGACAUAUACAGGAAUAUGGCAGAGAUGUCAU
rnacentral:rRNA from 1 species